CACGAGCACGAGCCACACAUGCCUAUGGAGCACCUGAAAUGUGCCAGUCCGAGAUGGGGUCUGCUCUCCUUGUACAAUGCACAGCAGAUUUCAAGGGCUCAGUACAAAGCAAAGGGGCGCUGCUCUCACAGAACACCUCUGUCACAGGACUGUCACAGGACUUCGCACCUGACUGCUCUGAAAAAAAAAACAGCUACUCGUACCAGAGACUUCAGUCUCGGCGUUUGAAGGAAGCAUGGCCAGAUUCCCAGAGAUGAUUCACAGCAACGGAAGGAAUGACCUGGUGCAACAGUGG